UCUCCCUCACAGCUCUCUCACACAACACACCACACACGCAUCGUUUUGCCCUUUACGCGCACAUAAUAUCCUCUCUUUCUUUCUCUCUCUCUCUCUCUCUCUCUCUCUCUUGCUUCGUUCGCUCGCUCUCUGAUAUAUCAACAUCGUCUCCCUCUUCUCUCAUCUCUCUGUAAAAAAGACAAAGCCGUGGAUCUAUCUCCUCCCUCCAUCCUCCUUUCCUUCUCUUCCUUACUCAAAAACAGCAAGAAGAACAAUUCUAUCAUUCUCUCUUUGUACCUAUUGCAUCAAUUUCUUUUCUCUUUAUCUUUGAGAUCUACCCUUUUCUUAUUUUUCGUUGUUAAAGAUAACCCAGAUCUCAGUUUCUCUAAUUUGUUUCAAAGAUGACAUCUUUCCGUUCAGAUCCAGCCUCAAGAAUCUACCCAGAACCUCAAUCUCUCUCAGCGAUCGACCAUUUCGACCGUUUACCAGACUCUCUCCUCCUUCUCGUCUUUAACAAAAUCGGAGAUGUCAAAGCUCUCGGCCGCUGCUGUGUCGUUUCACGCCGCUUUCACUCUCUUGUUCCUCAAGUUGAUAACGUCGUUGUUCGUGUCGACUGUGUAAUUUCCGAUGAUGAUACUUCCCCUUCUUCUUCGUCCGAUAAAUCUCGCUCUUCUGGCUCAUCAUCUUCUUCUUCGUCGUCUUCUGCUGGGUUUUCCUCUAUUUUUCGUUUGGUUUUUGGUGGUAUUGUUAAGCCUUUUCAAGCUCUCGGUCAGUUUCUUGGACCGACUAGAAGAGACAUGUUAAAUCCUUACCCUUCUUCAAGAAAUGGCCUUUUAUCUUCUUCAAGUUCUGCACUUUCUGUUGGGAACGAGGAUGAUGUUGGGGAAUUGGAUCAAGGUGGUGUUACCCAUCACUCACCAACUCAGGUCUUGAAGAAUUUUAAUGAAAUUCGUUUUUUACGAAUUGAAUUACCCAGUGGAGAAUUAGGUAUUGAUGAUGGUGUCCUUCUAAAAUGGAGGGCUGAUUUUGGAUCUACUCUUGAUAACUGUGUUAUUCUUGGUGCCGCUUCUGUAAUUAACAAUGCACAUAAUUCCAAAAGUUCUCAUCUUUUACAAGAAACUGUACCCGACUGCAACAAUGGUAAUAGUAGCAGUGGUGAUGAUAAUGGGAGCAUACCCGAGUCAUUUUACACCAACGGAGGCUUGAAACUGAGAGUUGUGUGGACUAUUAGCUCGUUGAUUGCGGCUUCUGCUAGGCAUUAUUUGCUUCAACCGAUUAUUGCUGAGCACAAGACGCUUGAUAGCUUGGUAUUAACUGAUGCUGAUGGGCAAGGAGUGCUGUGUAUGAAUAGGGAACAGCUUGAGGAGUUAAGAGUGAAGCCAUUGUCUGCUUCGUCUGCAUCAAAGAGGACGCUUGUGCCUGCGUUGAACAUGCGGCUGUGGUAUGCGCCCCAAUUAGAACUGCCUGAUGGGAUUGUGUUGAAAGGUGCAACUUUGGUUGCUAUUAGACCUAGCGAGCAGUCUACUUCCAGGAAGGAGGUUUGUGAUGCAUCUUGGGUUUCUACUGCUUUUGAGGAGCCUUACGGUACUGCCGCUAAGAUGCUGGUGAAGAGGAGGACUUACUGCUUGGAGAUGAACUCAUUUUGACGGAGCUGGAGCUAAGGGAAAGCACAAAUGGUUUUGGGGAAGGUGAAUGUGCAAGUUCUUUCAGAGUGAAGAAUCAGAAACCAAUUAUGCUUUUUCCACUCGACCUGAAGUGGGCUCACAUUACUGUGAAGCUGAAUCCUCUGCGGGAUUGCUGCCAUGACACCCAUCAUCGGUCAACUAUGCACUGUGAUUGUUCAACUUUCGGGUGCUUAAAGUGAUCAUUAAAAUGCAUCUGCUGCUUGUUUUUAUCGAGGCAUAUGCUCGUCAGGGUGCACACAUUCAACUAGCUGAAUGUUAUAAAGAGCUUUGAGUUUGUAGUCAUUUUCUUAAAUCUAAAAUCAUGCAUAAAGAUGGAUAUGAUGUGGAGUAGGAUAAGAUAAUACACAUUUUAGUCCCUGCAAUAGAAGGGUUCAUGUCAAUGCAAAGGAUCAUGUUGCUUGGACAUUAUCUCUAGCCAUAGCAAUUAGUUUCUUGUCCGCGACCCCCGGCAUUGUUAUUCAGGUUUCUAAAGAGAUACAUCUUGAAUGUGUAUAUCCUUAAUCACCAGUUGCUUAUGACAUGCGAGUUUUUGAGAUUUGGUUUCUGGGAAGGUUGUCUUAGAGGCCUCUCAUGUUUAUCAAAACACAUGAAACUCCUUCUCAAGUUAUGAUGUUUUACAAGUUUAGGGACUGCGACUUGGAUGCGUUUUGGAAAAUGCUGUUGUGGUCGCAGCUUAUUGGAGUAUUACAUGCCCUUUCAGAAACAUUUGAAACCUCCAUUUCUUAAUUUGGAAUUUGUUUUUCUUUAUAUAUGUUAUAUGCAAUGUAUGUUCCCUUGAAUUAGCUCAGCAGGAAACUAUCAUUGAUUUUGAA